AGAUUGAACGCUGGCGGCAGGCCUAACACAUGCAAGUCGAGCGGCAGCACGGGUACUUGUACCUGGUGGCGAGCGGCGGACGGGUGAGUAAUGCCUAGGAAUCUGCCAGGUAGUGGGGGAUAACGCUCGGAAACGGACGCUAAUACCGCAUACGUCCUACGGGAGAAAGCAGGGGACCUUCGGGCCUUGCGCUAUCAGAUGAGCCUAGGUCGGAUUAGCUAGUUGGUGAGGUAAUGGCU
rnacentral:rRNA from 1 species